CACAUAGCCCAGCAAAAAUAUAUUAAGUAACAGUUGACAUGACUUAAUAUGUGCUUUUUUUUUGAGUGGAUCAGAACCUUGAAAAUGGGUAUUAGAGUCCAGAGAUUGACAAUUCACAUAAAUUUAAACCUGAGGGGUGCAUUCAGCCCUAUUCUGAGGUGUUUUAGCUGAGGAUGAUUCUGUCGGUGCAGAGAUCUGGGAGGCUCUGCCCAGCUUUCAUCUUCCCUGUGCUAACUCAGGUACUUUGUGUUUCUGUGCAUAAUGCCUUUAACUAUAUGUAAUAACUAAUUUCUUAACUUUAAAGCAGCAUUUUCGGUUUCCUUUUGCAGAUAAAAAUCUUGGAAGUGCAGCGUUUGGUUGCUCCUGGGAUCUGCAUCAGUUUACACAAUAGAUAGCCCAGCUAAAAAAUAAAAAUAAUAAAAAAUUGUCAUGCUAGAGGGCCAGCAUUUAAACUGUGUGAUGGGCAGAGUAAAACAAAAAUGAAAUCCAGGAAGAAAGAAACAACAGUGGAAAAGCCAACCCCUGUCACACAGACUAACCUUUUCCCACAUUAAUAUCUGUUACAGCUACUGCAGUGCCCAGGAAACACCCAAGGGACAGUCACAGGGCUCUGCUUGUCAUUUUUGUUGCCAUUUAGAAGCUGCUUCCCACUGUGGUGGAAGAAGAUCCCAGGAAAUCGUCUCUCCUUUCCUUCUUUGUCGGGAAAGGUAUUCCCCCAAAGCUGCAGGUGGAACAAGGAGAGCUGGAGAGGAGAAUGGUGUCAUCACCUGAGGGGAAACACAAAGCAGAAAGAAACGAGGAGGGGAAAUUUUGGUGCUUAUUUUUAGACUCCGUGGGUGAGUAUUAUUUUCAGCCUUAUCUCUAUUAAUUUCUGCAGAACACAGUGUUAACAUGUGAUUAGGCUACCUACGAAGAGCACAUUGUAGUUUCUAGCUCAGGCUAAAGUAA
rnacentral:lncRNA from 12 species